AAGAUUGGACAAUGGGCGAAAGCCUGAUCCAGCCAUGCCGCGUGUUUGAAGAAGGUCUUCGGAUUGUAAAUCACUUUAAUUUGGGAGGAAGGGUUGUAGGUUAAUACCCUGCAAUUUUGACGUUACCCACGGAAUAAGCACCGGCUAACCUUGUGCCAGAAGCCGCUGGAAUACGAAGGGGGCAAGCGUUAAUCGGAAUUAAUGGGUGUAAAGAGCGCGUAGGUGGUACGGUUAGUUGGAAGUGAAAGCCCCGGGCUUAACCUGAGAAUUGCUUUCAAAACUGACGAACUAGAGUACGGUAGAAGGUAGUGGAAUUUCCUGUGUAGCGGUGAAAUGCGUAGAUAUAGGAAGGAACAACAGUGGCGAAGGCGACCACCUGGGCUAAUACUGACACUGAGGUGCGAAAGCGUGGGGAGCAAACAGG
rnacentral:rRNA from 1 species